GGCGUGCGCGAGAGCGCGGAAUACCGGAAUCAUAAUCCUGGGGUCGGGGGUUCGAGUCCCUCCCCCGCUACCA
rnacentral:tRNA from 1 species